rnacentral:miRNA from 1 species
UGAGAAUGAUGUGGAUCUCAGC